CUUUGUUUCCUUGCACUCCGUCAUGUUUUCCAUGUCGCUAGCUCAUUCAUUUUACAUCCGAUUUUUCACUCCUCAAAACAUUUUUUCUUUUU